GCGUGGGAAUCUACCUCGUAGUGGGGGACAACUUGUGGAAACGCAAGCUAAUACCGCAUACGUCCUGAGGGAGAAAGCAGGGGAUCUUCGGACCUUGUGCUAUGAGAUGAGCCCGCGUCGGAUUAGCUAGUUGGUGGGGUAAAGGCCUACCAAGGCGACGAUCCGUAGCUGGUCUGAGAGGAUGAUCAGCCACACUGGAACUGAGACACGGUCCAGACUCCUACGGGAGGCAGCAGUGGGGAAUAUUGCACAAUGGGCGCAAGCCUGAUGCAGCCAUGCCGCGUGUGUGAAGAAGGCUCU
rnacentral:rRNA from 1 species